GGCGGCGUGGGGACCAGCGCGGGCCGGGGCAGCUGGUACCUGGGAUCGGGCAGGACGGUCCUCUUGCUGGCGCGGGCGGCCGGAGUCGCCUUGCUCUUCUCCAUGGCCAUCAGGUAAUGAUGAAGCCCCUGCUCUGGUCCAAGCUACCUGUGAACAGCGCCCAGCGGGCCGGGCCCCCAACCUCGCUCCUGAACGUACCCGCAAGCCCGCCGUGAGAAUUCAGCGAAGAGUAAAGGCUGGAGAAAGUUGCGUGUCUCAGGCUAAGCAGAGCAAAGUGGGGUGAGGGCUUCGCCGCUAGGAACAGAGAUGCCCUUAGGGAGCCCCCUGAUGGAAGAGCUCUCUGCUUAAGAAGGUCAGCACGCCCUUACACUCAGGAAAAGUGGAAAUGAGGCCUUUUACCCCAGGGUUGUUGAGAAGACAGGGGAGAAAAAGCACAUAAAAAUGCACCUUGUCGGGCGCAGUGGCUCACACCUGUAAUCCUGCACUUUGGGAGU
rnacentral:lncRNA from 1 species